rnacentral:tRNA from 1 species
GGCCAUGUGGUCUAGUGGUAUGAUUCUCUGCUUAGGGUGGCGAGAGGUCCGGAUUCGAUCUCCGGCAUGGCCC